rnacentral:lncRNA from 1 species
GGGCUGCAGAGUUGACUUGUUGAAGGUGCACACAGUCAUUUACACUUUGGAAGAAAGGAAUUUAUUCAUUUGUUUUUUUGGAAAAUUGAAACCGUGACUUCAUGACCUGGGAAGUGAACUUUGACGCUGGUUUUUGGGAGAAGAGAGAAUUAUAUUUUCUUUCACUUUAAAGGAAAGGGAGGUCACGGCCAAUAGGUCCAAUUUUACACUUAUUGCAAAUUCAAUUUCUUUGGUGGAGGUAAAUGAGGUCAAGUGACUUGGUAAAAAAAAAUAUAUGUUGUUUAUUUUCCUUAGCUUUAAAUUAGUUUGCAUUGUAUGACUCCAACAAACACCCAUCAGUAGGUGUUGAUAAUCUUCUCUCUUGAUAUCCUUUUCUUUUUCUUCUUCUUGUUGAAUUUCUUCAUAAAGUUGACAACACCAAGCACAUGUUUCCAUGUUUCAAUCAUAGGAACUUUAAUCUCCAAUUUCUUGAAGAUCUCCAUAAAGCACUUAAACUUCUUUUCCUUCCUAUGAUUUUUCUUUUGAUGAGGAAGGGGCUUUCCAUAUGAUCUUUUCUUCUUUCCUCUCUUCCUCUUUUUCUCUCUCUUCUCCUCCCUCAACUUUCUCUUUUUAUUUUCACUUAUUUUUUUCUUUCUUUUCUCACUUUUUUUCUUUUUUUCUUUUCUUUCAACCACUUAUUUUUCCUUAUCAUCAUUUUUAUCUCCCUCACUCAACUUUUCUACUUCUUCUUCCUCUUCAACUCGCUCUAUCUUUUCCUUCUCCAUCUUUAUUUGUUUCUCAUCAACAACCCUAUCACUUUCAGAGAUAGUGGCUUGGCAUUCAUCAUUAGGGUUAACUUCAGUAUUAACCCUAAUAAUACCUAGAGACUUCAACACGCAAGAGAUUUGUUCCAGCUGUAAACGUUCUUUAGCUUCUCCUAAUGUUUCUCUUGUCGAAGAGAGUUGUUGCUUAAAAUCUCGCCCAAUCUGGCUUUGAUCCAUGUAUGAGUGAGGUUCCCACCAGGGUUGAAACCAUUUUGGUAGAAUUGAGUGCCCAUAUACUCAAAUUCUUGUCCAUACUGCAUUCUGCAAACUUUAGGCACAGAUAAAAAUGAAAAUAAACAUAGAAUCAAGUCAAAUUCAAUCAAUUUACACUACUCAAAAAAGUAAACCUCGAGUUCCCG